UACGAAGGGGGGCUAGCGUUGCUCGGAAUCACUGGGCGUAAAGGGUGCGUAGGCGGGUCUUUUAAGUCAGGGGGUGAAAUCCUGGAGCUCAACUCCAGAACUGCCUUUGAUACUGAAGAUCUUGAGUUCGGGAGAGGUGAGUGGAACUGCGAGUGUAGAGGUGAAAUUCGUAGAGAUUGCGAGAACACCAGUGGCGAAGGCGGCUCUUGUGCCUGUAACUGACGCUGAGGCGA
rnacentral:rRNA from 1 species